GAAUAUGAAAGGAUUCCAGCAAUUUUCUUGAACUCUUAGAUGUCCUAAUGCUGAGAUUAUUCUGCUCCCAGCCAAUCAUGAGAAUGACCUCCUCCAUACUUCUUCUGCUGUUGCACUGUUCUCAGGUCUCUGCUUUCCUGUGAACCAAAGAAACGACGGCUGAUAACUUUUUAAGGAUGCAAGAAAAAGGGCUUCAUUUUCUAGCUGUGUGGACUUUGGCAAAUUGUUUAAGUUUUCUGUGGCCCAUUACCUCAUCUGGAAAAUAGGAUUAAUGGCAUCAGUGAAUGGCAUCGUGGAGCGAGUGUGGGGAUUCGAUGACAAAAGUGCCUCAUGGUCAUGGCAAGUGACCACAGCAUCUGGAGCUGUGAUGGAUGAUGAUGGCGGUGGCGGCGGUGGUGGUGGAUAGAUAGUUCCUGAACAUCCAGCCCAUCAGAAGCGGGGAAAGGAGCAGAUGUUUGAGACUGAAGCCAUAGGAACGGGCAGAAGGCAAGGUUGAUGGGGUCACAAACACACCUGUCAUCAUCUUAGUAGAAUAAAUUAUCUGCCUUUCAACAUGUCCUGAAUAUGUCUGAGAUAGAUCUGAGAGGAAUAGAUAAUGUGAAAUGGCCCAAGUGGUAAACAGGUAUUCUUUCAUUUGGUGAAAAUGUAGUCGUCCCCGCCGUCUUCUA